CCUACGGGACGCACCAGUGGGGAAUAUUGCACAAUGGGCGCAAGCCUGAUGCAGCCAUGCCGCGUGUAUGAAGAAGGCCUUAGGGUUGUAAAGUACUUUCAGUUGGGAGGAAGGCGUUGACGCUAAUAUCAUCAACGAUUGACGUUACCAACAGAAGAAGCACCGGCUAACUCCGUGCCAGCAGCCGCGGUAAUACGGAGGGUGCAAGCGUUAAUCGGAAUUACUGGGCGUAAAGCGCAUGCAGGCGGUUGAUUAAGUUAGAUGUGAAAUCCCCGGGCUUAACCUGGGAAUGGCAUCUAAGACUGGUCAGCUAGGGUCUUGUAGAGGGGGGUAGAAUUCCAUGUGUAGCGGUGAAAUGCGUAGAGAUGUGGAGGAAUACCGGUGGCGAAGGCGGCCCCCUGGACAAAGACUGACGCUCAGGUGCGAAAGCGUGGGGAGCUAACAGGAUUAGAUACCCUCGUAGUC
rnacentral:rRNA from 1 species